AAAAAAAAGGUUCAUAGCAAAAGAGAUUUGUUAGUGAGUGUUAUUGUCGAGUACGGUAAAAAUAAUAAUCCGAUAAGGCGGGCGGAGAGUAAUGCGAUGGGAAACGGACCGAGCCGAGCCGGUAAAAUCGAAGCCACUAAAGCCUUAAUGACAUCGACAAGACCUCACGCGCUCAUCCCGGCGACCUUCCUCCUACACUCGCGGCUCAUGCGGCCGGCGCUCUCCCCCCACCGACGCGACCCCUUUACUCCCUAACUACACCCACUCUCUCUCUAUUCCCACCCACGCGGACAAACCCCCACCCCCCAAUUUCCAACCCCCAACCAAACACUUUCCGUUCCCGACGAUGGGUGACCUAACGGACCCCCAAAUGACGCCGUCCCAUGCCACCGCCACCACCCCCUCCUCCAACCCUCGCCCCAUGCCCGUCCGCGAAGACUGCUGGAGCGAAGACGCUACCUCCACUCUCGUCGACGCCUGGGGCCGCCGUUACCUCGAGCUCAACCGCGGGUGCCUCCGUCAGAAGGACUGGCAGGAGGUCGCUGACGCCGUCAACGCCCUUCACGGCCACACCAAGAAGACCCACCGCACCGACGUCCAGUGCAAGAACCGCAUCGACACCAUCAAGAAGAAGUACAAGUUCGAGAUGAAUAGGGUUUCGUCCUCCAACGGAGCCCUAACCUCUUCUUGGCCUUUCUUCGAGAGGCUCGACGCUCUCAUCGGAUCUAACUACAAGAAGCCGUCUCCUUCGCCCCCGGUCGCUGUUCCGUUGCCUUUGGGGUAUCGGAAGACGCCGCCUCCGGCGACCGUUGUGACGGCCGUGGCGCUGCCGCAGAAGCGGUCUGCGUCGUCUGCGGCGGUCGACGAGGGUUUCUUCAGGAUGAAUUACUCGGCUGUGGCUGCGGCGGCAGCGGCAGAGGCUGAGGAUGAUGACGACGAGGACGAGGAUGAGGACGACGAGGGGAACUACGAGGUUGAUGAGGAGGUUGAGAUGGAGAGGGAGAGAGAUAGCGGAGGCGAGAUUGGAGGUGGAGGAGGAGGAGGAGGAGAAGGGUUGAAGAGAUUGGCGAGAGCGAUUGAGAGGUUCGGGGAGGUGUAUCAGAGAGUGGAGGCCGAAAAGUUGAGGCAGAUGGUGGACUUGGAGAAGCAGAGGAUGCAAUUCGCCAAUGAUUUGGAGGUGCAGAGGAUGAAUAUGUUCAUGGACACGCAGGUCCAGCUCGAGCGGAUCAAGCACGGCAAGCGAUCCGGCUCUAAUGCUUUUAUGCAUGGAUGUGAACGUUUGUAAAGUUGAGCUCUGAGAGUUUUAUAUAGAGUUCUAUCAAUUCGUAGAACAGAAGGAACAGAAACAUAUCCUGAUAUUUAUAUGCGGGGAGAGCUUUAAUGGUAGGACUUCCAUGGGAAGCAUAAUGUAGUAUCUUCUUGAUUAUCCUACAAAGUACAUAUUGUUGCAGCUGAUACUGGACCUAGAGAAACCACUGGCACAACAGUCCCAAGUUUUCUUUUUCCUUUCUUUUCUUUUUUCAUCUUGGUUUUUUCUUUCUAAAUUAUUAUUAUUUUGGGAACAAGUUUAAUCGGCUUGGCGGCUUAGAUUUUGGUCCAAUGAAUUUGGUUUUGGCUGUAUUAGCUUUUUAGUUUGAACGCCACAAAUCUAAUUUUUUCUUGCAAUACAUAAAAGUAGGUAACUUCUCUCUUUGUACUU